AUUAAGUUAUAAUAAUAAUAAUAAUAAUAAUUAUUAUUAUUAUUAUUAUUAUUAUUAUUAUUUACAGUGGGGAAAUUGUUCACUAGAAUAAUCAGAAUACACAUUGUCCUCACCACUCCGGUGCCUCUGAACCAGGCGGUGAUGCUCCCUGUGAGAAGAGAAGCCCCAAUGUAGAAAUUCAAUUCAGUUUUAUUUGUAUAGCACUUUUAACAAUGGACAUUGUCUCAAAGCAGCUUUACAGAAAUAUAUAAACACAGGAUACAGAUUUUAAGUGUGAUUUUACAGAUUUUAAGAAAGCCCUCAGCACACUGUGGGAGACCUUGAACACUGACAUUUAUGGCAUUUUGCAGACACACUUAUUCAGAGAGCCUUACAUUCGUCUAAUUUAUACAACUGAACAGUUGAGGGUUAAGGCCUUGCUCAAGGGCCCAGCAGUAGCAGCUUUGUGACUCAUGACCUUCCAGUCAGCAGUCCACUGAGCUACCACUACCCUUGGACUGAACCUGGCCAGACAUCGCAGAUGUUAGAGACACUGGCAGGCCCUUGUCACCAAGCUGUUUGUGUGUGUGUUGUCCAGAAGAGGUCUUCUGUGAGGUGGACCCCUAGGUAUUUGAAGCUGCUCACUCUCUUGAUUGUGGCCCCAUUGAUAAUCAGGUAGCUGUAGUUCCUCACCUGCUGUGAUUCCAGUGCUGAGGCUGGAGGAGGUAUGGUUUCCCAUCCUGACCACCUGGGGAUGUCCAGUCAUCCAGGAUCCAACGGCAUAUGAAGGAGUUCCAUCCCAUGUUCUGGAGCUUUUUGCAUAGGUGUGAGGGGAUGAUGGUGUUAAAGGUGGAGCAUCACAACCAGCAUCCGGACGUGCUUCCCUUUCUUCUGGUCCAGGUUGUGUGCUGAUGAAUCUGCCAUGACUUUUUCCAAGUUAACCUUGUUGGGGCGGCUGUGGAUCAGGUGGUAGAGCGGGUUGUCCACUAAUCGUAGGGUUGGCGGUUUGAUUCCCAGCCCACGUGAUUCCACAUGCCAAAGUGUCCUUGGGCAAGACACCGAACCCCAAGUUGCUCCUGAUGGCAAGUUAGCACCCUGCAUGGCAGCUCUGCUACCAUUGGUGUGUGAGUGUGUGUGUGUGUGAAUGGGUGAAUGAGACACAGUGUAAAGCGCUUUGGAUAAAAGCGCUAUAUAAGUGCAGACCAUUUAAAGUCACCGAUAAUCACCAGCAAUGUGUCUGGAUUCUUUGUUUGUAGCAGUCCACUGUCCCUGUGUAGUGUCAAUAAGCAGUGUCUGUGUGGGCCUGAGGUGGAUUAUAAACAAUCUUGAUGAUGGCAGAGGUGAAUUCUCUGGUUCAAAAAAAGGUGCGACAUUGACGGCGAGGUAUUCCAGGUCUGGUGCGCAUAAUUCCAUAAGACGAUGGGCCCUCUGUGCGUGGUCGUUUUUUGUCAUUGAUCAUAACACACACUCUACCACCCCGGAUUUUUCCCGAGUUCUCCGUCCUGUCCAUGCAGUGAAGGGAGAACCCAG